rnacentral:lncRNA from 1 species
UUAAUUAACAUGUAUUAACCCUACACAAGGAUCUAAAUAUGAUAUAUAUAGCAUGCAUUUAAAUUUGAAAUUUUGAAUUCUACAGUAAACGUUUUACUGUUAUGUGUUCAGAACACAUUACCUUCGUGCAGGUAGUCGAUCGCUACAGUCUGAUCACCGUCGAAAAAGUCUGAUCGUUACAAUGCAGCCACACAGUAUAUCUGACCUCUGCGGAUCAUCCACACAAAGCUCUCGA